UUUCCGUAGGUGAACCUGCGGAAGGAUCAUUCAUAAUAAAGUGUUUUAUGGCACUUUUUAAAAAUCCAUAUCCACCUUGUGUGCAAUGUUAGAUCUCGUCAAUCUUGGCGAGGUUUUUAUACAUCAACUCAUUCUUUAACUAAUUUGUCUGAAAAAUAUUAUGAAUACUUAAUUCAAAAUACGACUUUCAACAACGGAUCUCUUGGCUCUC
rnacentral:misc_RNA from 1 species